AAGACACAAUUAAAAUAUUCAGUGAGAAAUAAUAAACAAAUAAAUAAAUAUGAAACUUCAUAUGCUGCUCUGAAAUUCAGAGCUUUGGUUUUGCAAAGGACUCAUGUAAAACACCCAGAGAUGUGACUUUUGGGUGCAUAUAGAGAUGUGAAAUAAAAUUUAAAAAUAACAUCUCUUUUCUUCUCUUUUCUUCUCUUCUUUUCAGGAGAAGAGGAGGGGAGGAAAGUGGGGAGGAAGGCUAUUACAUCUGACAGCCGGGAGGUGGUCCGGAAGCUGCUGCUGCCACCCCUGGUCAGGUCCACCCUUUCCCUUGGUGACCCAGCCCCUGUGGCUGGGCCAUCAACGGAAAGGGUGAGGUCCGCCAAAAAAAGGCGGACUAAAAGCAACCUGGCCAGGGACGCACCGAGCACCCAGGUGAGGCCCCCACGGGAGGGCAGCCCACCAGCCCUCCCACGGAGGAUCGAGGCUCGGCGGGGGCCCAAGGCACCAGGUGGGGGCGUGCCUUCUGGGGGGAAACCCCUUCCCCACCAGGAGGAGGGGAGCCCCCCCAGAAGGAGGCCGGAGGUGGCAGCGGCGGUUAAAAUCCUCCAACCCAUCCCCAGGAGGAACCUGGAGCUUGGGGAGCCUGGGCGGGACUUCCUCCCUCUGGGGCAGGACCGUCUUUCUGGCUUGUCCAGGGAGUCGGUUCCUCCCCAGACUUCUUUAAAAAACCAUCCCAGGAUGAACGCCCUGACCCCGAUGGGCCGGCCUCUGCCGAAGCCGUUACCAUCAUCCUGGCAUCCGCCAGAGGCUCGGCAGAGGCCCGACCCGUUGCCAGCGCUAACUAUUCAAGCGCUGAGGCUCCCCAAGGCAGAGCCAGCCCCUUCCUCCUGGGGGACUCCGCCGCUCCCCUCCGGCUCUGUGGCCCUUCCAUCGCCACCACGCCCCCGCCCGAAGGCACGCCCUUGGGGAGAGAGACCGUCACCCAUUCCUCCCCAAGGGCCGUGCCUCGUGGUCAGAGGCCUCCGCCCGCUGCGCGAUCCUCCGGUGGGGACCCUCUGGGUGCGUGGCAGCAGCGGUGGAAGGACCCCUUCAAACACCCCCUCCCGGCUGCUGCGGCCCCUCCCCUAAAUCUCCCCAACUCUCUCCUGCCAUGAUGGAAGAGGGCCCCCCCGCCCCGCCCACCCGCCCGCCCGCCUGCUGAUGUUUGCAGGAUGUGAAACAAACUUCAUGAAGUCUUGGAAUACUAACAUGUUGGUUGCCUAUGACUGCUCAUCUAUCAUGCACUAUGGCAGGAAUGCCUUCAGCAUGACCGCCUUGCCCACAACUGUACCACUCUCCAGCUCUUACAUCAUCCUUGGACAAAGAUGGAACCUGAGCAACUCAGAUAUUGCCAGAGUCAACAAGUUCUACAAGUGUUUUCAAGCAGCAGCACAGCCAGAAACAUCGGAUGGAAGACCUGAGAAUGUAACUGGUUUUGUCCCAAGCUCAAUGGAACCAGAAAGCAAGGACUACAUCCCUACUGCCUGGAGUUCAGUUCCUUCUGCCACGGAAGAGGCUCGUUCUGCCAGCGAGACUGUUCAGGAGCUGCAAGAGCUGGCCCAAGUGGGCUCCACCCUGCCACCCAACAGGAGUGUUGAGGAAGCCUCUAGUGUUGCAGAAGCCCCGAUGAGAACUCUAGCACCCGGAAUGGAGAGGCGUAACCCAAGUACAGUGUCUCCAGGGGCUCCGAGCAAAGCAUACCUCAUGAUGUCAGAAGGACUGCCACAUAACACCCGGCUCUUGGAAAUGGAGACUAAAAUGACAGCCAGCACUGCUGCCCAGAAGAGCAGUGAGCCGCAAGCUCUGCAGAACCCAACCCGUGGCUCUGGAGUGCUGAGAAUCCAGUCUCCAAGCUACACACAAGGUGGGCAAAGUCCCAUUGAAGGAACAAGAGCUAAUCCAGGAAUUGCACUUGCAGCUUACACUCGUACCAAAAGCACAGUGCCUCCAUUUAGCCUCGGCAAGGGAGCUGCAAGAAGGCUUGAUAGGCUGGUGCAGAGCACUCUCCUUUCUGGAUCAAGAGCCAUGGAUGUGGGGCAGAUCACAGAACUACCUUCCCCUAUGGAGACAGGAAUCGAUGAGUCUGAAAAUGGCACGCCCAGCUCAAUCAAGGGGGGACCUUUCACUGUGGUGGAAAACCAAACCAAAGAAGGUAUGGAUCUCUUCCAUCCAGCCACAAGUCACUCUAGAAGCAAUACUGGCCACCUUCAGGAUAUGCACUCUGUGGAAGGCAUACGAGAUAAUGCAGUGAGCUCUUCCUACAUGACACCCUCUCGGAGAGCCCCUGGAAGUACAGUAGUCCCAAAUGCUGGAGCUUCUUCCAAUCCCCCAGACAGUGAAGCAAGAAGCCAGGCACUCUUCACUAUCAGCAGCCACCGUGGAAUAGUGGGAAAGGAAGAAAAAGGCUUCUACAACAAGGAGGCUACUGAGCCAGCUUUCACACUGGCCUCCCAUAGUAGGAAACCCUCUGUGGCACAGGAACGAGAAUAUGGGAUGCUUCCUACUGAUGGGGAUCGAGGCCUUGGAAGUUCACGGGCUCAAAGUCAACAUCUUGAUAGGCUCAGGGCCCCUACUGGAGAGCCAUCCCCUUGGGCAACAACUGCAGGUGAUUCAGCUGAUUCAAGACAAAAGGAAACUUUUUCUGAGAGCAGUCCAAUGGGGUCCACUUCCAUAGAAGUGGGCACAAUCUCUCCUCUGCCCCUCACUUAUCGGGCAAGAAAGGGCUACAGACAGGGAGCGUUGGCACAUACACCUUUGGGACCAGUCUCUGAGACUGAGCAGGUGAUGCACAAGACAUGGCCCCUCCUGAGGUCCCAUGAGACACCUAGAAGUGCAGCUGCCGAAACAGUGGUGGGAAUCCCACCGGUCCAGCUUGAACUCCAGACUGAAAGGGGGCACCUGGAAGGAACUGCAUGGCCCAUGUCUGAAACUGGGGAGGGGCAAACGCGGAGCUGCCCAGCCAAGCUCCUGUGCAGGAAGAACAGGCUUUACUAGCAACUGAAAUGGAGCAAGCCAUGCAUUCUACAGAGGAGACCUCUCCACUGAAACUCUCUUGGUCUCCAAGCUCUAGGCCAGCUCAGAGGGGAGACACAGCUUCAUCACUGCAACCAAGAAACAUGGAAGGCUAUAGCUCUAGUGCCCAUGCUGCAGGAUGGACUGCAAGGGUGCAUGCUGAAGAAUCACUAAAGCAUGCCACAGAAGCAGCAACUAUGGAAAGCCUGUCUCGUGGGCAGAAGGCUAGUGUUGGCCAUGAGGAAGAACCUGGAGGCAAAAGGCCUGCAGGAACUGAACUCCCCAAAGAAGCCAAGACCCACAAAAGAGCAUCUCUGUGGCAAGUACUGCCCACGGCAUCACUUGGGAGCCAAAUGCCCAGAAACCCUGAGUGUGGUAUGGCAGAAACCAGACAACAGGAACAACCUCCUCCUCCCCACUCAGUUGGAACUAGUAUUGCUGGAACAGGAGAUGGUGGUCAUGGCCAAGCCAAGAAUUCUACUGGGCUGAGAACAGUACCCUCUCAAAGCCAAUGCAGAGGGAGAGUGGCUGGCUCUUCAUACAUGAAGCAUGCUACCAAGAGGCCAGCUUCCUUGGACAUACCGUUGGAAAAUGAGGCUACUCAGGAAUCCAAGUCGGGUGCAGAAACCAAAGGACACAGCUCUGUCUCAAAAGGGAGAUCUCUCCCCAAAGAGAGUGAGAAGGUAUUGUCUGUCCCAGAAACAAGUACUUCUCCCAGCUGGAGGAGAGACACCAAAAAUCGAAGAGAGGAAAAUGGAAUGGGCCAUUACCCACAACCUCUGGAAGAGACUUCAUUGGCAGUAAUGAGUGAACUUACAAAGCCACAUAAAAGGACUCCAGAGAGUACUAUAGCAAGUGAUCAAGGAACUGCUAAAACUACCAGUGCUGGUUCUUCCCACUUCUCCACCACCUUGGCUUUUGGCAACCCAACUCUGCAGGGAGUGCAAGAACCCCGACGUUCUCUUUGUUUAGGAGGAACAGGAUCAGAAUCUGUACCAAAUGAUGGGGGGCCACCUGUAAAAUAUUUGGAAUCUGCCACUGAAAGAAAAGGCUCCUCUAGAGAAAUAACAAGCCCUUUUGCAGAAGGGAGACUGUCUGAGCCAGCAAAUGCAACAGAAAAGUCUUACCAUGGGAUUAAAUGGGCCACAACCCAAGGCUGGAAAGAUGCACUUGAAAAAAGUAGGGACACCACUUCUCCCUUAUCUGAAGCACAGCCAAUGGCCUUGAUUCAUGGCAUUAAUGAAGGGACAGCCGUGCCCCUGACCGCCCCAGAAUCUCCCACACUUCUAAACUAUAGAAAGGGGCCUGCUGGUCGCCAUUCUACAAAGGAAACUCUUCAAUCCAGACAAGCCUCUGAAACACAGACUGUAGUGAAUGGAGGAGAAAUCACUGUGAGCAGCAUGAUGGAAGGGAAACCAGAGCAAGAUGGUGGUCCCUCUGUCGUCAACCCCAAUUUCCUUCAUUAUAUUGACAAGAGGUCUCUGCCAGAGAUAAUGGCAAGAACCUUGGUACUGGCGUUGCCACAAUAGGAGGACUGCAAUUGUGAGCCACUGGGGCUGAAUUGCAGGUGUCUAAAUCCCAGUAAACCAACAGUGGCUGGUUCUGUGAAGACAAAAGCAUUCCUGAAGAAACAUGUCCUCAGAACCAUGAUGGCGGCGGCAGCGGCUCUUGGGAAUGGGCACAAGCCUGAAAAAGCUGUAGGGAUGUCUGCUUCAAACAUUGAAUUGCCACAUCUUUGUAGGAAGUUGCCUUCUGCAGUGGAAAUGGCAGGAAAUGACCUGCCGGCCCCUCGAAGAACAAUGAAGGCAGCACAGCCCCUCUUCUGUUCCUUUGAGCAAGACUUGUGUGGCUGGGAGCAGAGUAAGGAAGAUGACCUGGACUGGAUCCUUGAGAAAGAGCAAGAGCAGUCUGUGGAUGAUCAAGAUAUUGCAGGAAUGCCUUGCAGGGCCUCUGGUGGCUACAUCUCCCUGAAGUCUCCGACAAUCCAAGUUCCUAGUAAAAAGGCAAUUCUGAUCAGCCCCCAUCACCUGGAAAACUUUUGUAUAAUUGAUGCUUUCUUCCCCUGCUCUUUUUGCAGUGUCCUUGAUUAGUACUGUGGCUGACUGCAUAAUUUUAAGGUUGUGAGCCACUGUGUCUUAUAUUUUUAAAAUGUACUGCCUACCUCUGUAGAAAAUUGACAGUGUAUUAGAGAACAACAUUCUUCUCCCCACUCCAGAAAAGAAGCUAUCCCUUGAUAAGCUGCAUAUGUAUAGAUGCGAGCCCUGGACCUAUGGGAAGGGGCCAAGGGCAAACAGUUUGCUUCCUAUUUGGUAAAAUCAAGCUAAAUCUAGUGUGAGCCUUUUGUGUCUCUGCCAGGAAGCUGCUUCCACCUUGUGGGGAGAAGCUUAGCUCUUCCUGCCCCCCAACACACUUUGCAGAGAAGGAAGGGUAGCAGACCUAGUUCACUCCAUGCUUCCUCCCCUGCUUGCCAUUCCUUGCAGAAUCCCAGUUGUCACCCCUAUACUGGAUUUUUGUCUGGUACAGAAGUUCUAUUCAGUCAUUGGGCAUGGAAUAAGGUGCUGUAGUGAUCAGCCUCCCCUCCCUCUAAAGAGUUAACUGGAAGUGAAGCUCAGCCAGUCAGCAUACCAGGUGGGUCUGGGACCUAGAGAGCUGUUGGCAGGAAGAAGAGUUCUUUGUUAGAAGAGAAGCUAGGUGGGAGGUGCACAGGAGGAUAUGUGGUCAUGGAGAUUGGCUGUAGGAUAAUAACUCUGCAGAUCCUUGAAAGAUAGGUCAGGAAGCUAGAAUUCUCAACAGGAGUUUGGUGAAGCCAAGGCUAGUGGCUUCAGAAGUUUAGGGCAGGAGAAAGUGGUUUAAGAGUUUGUAGUAGAAUUUCUGUUUCUUUGGUGUGUGCUUUUGCAUAUUCCUGAUACUGUUCUAUCAUUGUUUACCUGUAACAUAAUUAAAAUAAGGAACACUAGCCCACGCCCAUCCUACCUAGGGUGUUGCAAAAGACUCUAUAAACACCUUAAGCAUACAUUAAGGCAACCUAUUUUUGUAACCCUACUAAGUAUUCUUAAAUGUAACUAAAAGCUGAGAGAACCUCAGACAGAAGCAGUCUGUAGCAACGAAUAAAACUGAUUUUCUUUUUAAAAGCCUCUCAGUGUUGGUUUUUAACUUGGGGAAAACACCAAAUUAAGUCUUUUUCUUUCUGGGUUAUCCCACCCCAAGCCCAGAGUUUCUGUCGACAAAAGGGGUGGUGGUGGCAGCAUUUUGAACCUACUGAUAAUACCGAAUAGUUCUAGGAGAAGUCUAGCCAGGCAGCUCAGCAGGGAUGAAU